rnacentral:rRNA from 1 species
AGUCAAGUGAAUAAGUGCAUCAGGUGGAUGCCUUGGCGAUGAUAGGCGAAGAAGGACGUGUAAGCCUGCGAAAAGCACGGAGAAGCUGGCAAAAAAGCAAUGAUACCGUGAUGUCCGAAUGGGGAAACCCACUGCACUCGUGCAGUAUCCUAGUCUGAAUACAUAGGGCUAGAGAAGCGAACCUGGAGAACUGAACCAUCUAAGUACCCAGAGGAAAAGAAAUCAACCGAGAUUCCGCAAGUAGUGGCGAGCGAACGCGGAAAAGCCUGUAUAUGAUAAUGGUUAGGAUAGAAGAAGGGAUUGGAAACUUCCGCCAUAGUGGGUGAUAGCCCCGUAUUUGAAAUCUUAACCAUGGUACUAAGUAUACGAGAAGUAGGGCGGGACACGUGAAAUCCUGUCUGAAUAUGGGGGGACCAUCCUCCAAGGCUAAAUACUCAUCAUCGACCGAUAGUGAACCAGUACCGUGAGGGAAAGGCGAAAAGAACCCCGGAAGGGGAGUGAAAUAGAACCUGAAACCUGAUGCAUACAUACAGUGGGAGCAUCUUUGUGGUGUGACUGCGUACCUUUUGUAUAAUGGGUCAACGACUUACAUUCAGUAGCGAGCUUAACCGAGUAGGGGAGGCGUAGGGAAACCGAGUCUUAAUAGGGCGACUAGUUGCUGGGUGUAGACCCGAAACCGAGUGAUCUAUCCAUGGCCAGGAUGAAGGUGCGGUAAAACGCAUUGGAGGUCCGAACCCACGCAUGUUGCAAAAUGUGGGGAUGAGCUGUGGAUAGGGGUGAAAGGCUAAACAAACUCGGAGAUAGCUGGUUCUCCCCGAAAACUAUUUAGGUAGUGCCUCGAGUAUGAGACUGAUGGGGGUAAAGCACUGUUAUGGCUAGGGGGUUAUUGCAACUUACCAACCCAUGGCAAACUAAGAAUACCAUCAAGUUGCUCCUCGGGAGACAGACAUCGGGUGCUAACGUCCGGUGUCAAGAGGGAAACAACCCAGACCGCCAGCUAAGGUCCCAAAUGAUAGAUUAAGUGGUAAACGAAGUGGGAAGGCACAGACAGCCAGGAUGUUGGCUUAGAAGCAGCCAUCAUUUAAAGAAAGCGUAAUAGCUCACUGGUCGAGUCUUCCUGCGCGGAAGAUGUAACGGGGCUCAAAUCUAUAACCGAAGCUGCGGAUAUACUUUUGUAUAUGGUAGGGGAGCGUUCUGUAAGCCUGUGAAGGUGACUUGUAAAGGUUGCUGGAGGUAUCAGAAGUGCGAAUGUUGACAUGAGUAGCGAUAAAGCGGGUGAAAAGCCCGCUCGCCGAAAGCCCAAGGUUUCCUACGCAACGUUCAUCGGCGUAGGGUGAGUCGGCCCCUAAGGCGAGGCAGAAAUGCGUAGUCGAUGGGAAACAGGUUAAUAUUCCUGUACUUUGAUUCAAUGCGAUGUGGGGACGGAGAAGGUUAGGUUAGCAAACUGUUGGAAUAGUUUGUUUAAGCCAGUAGGUGGAAAGAGUAGGCAAAUCCGCUCUUUCUUAACACCGAGACGUGAUGACGAGUGUCUACGGACAUGAAGUGACCAAUACCACGCUUCCAGGAAAAGCCACUAAGCUUCAGUUGAAUCAGAACCGUACCGCAAACCGACACAGGUGGGCAGGAUGAGAAUUCUAAGGCGCUUGAGAGAACUCGGGAGAAGGAACUCGGCAAAUUGAUACCGUAACUUCGGGAGAAGGUAUGCCCUCUAAUGUUAAGGACUUGCUCCGUAAGCAUCUGAGGGUCGCAGAGAAUCGGUGGCUGCGACUGUUUAUUAAAAACACAGCACUCUGCUAACACGAAAGUGGACGUAUAGGGUGUGACGCCUGCCCGGUGCUGGAAGGUUAAUUGAAGAUGUGCAAGCAUCGGAUCGAAGCCCCAGUAAACGGCGGCCGUAACUAUAACGGUCCUAAGGUAGCGAAAUUCCUUGUCGGGUAAGUUCCGACCCGCACGAAUGGCGUAACGAUGGCCACACUGUCUCCUCCCGAGACUCAGCGAAGUUGAAAUGGUUGUGAAGAUGCAAUCUCCCCGCUGCUAGACGGAAAGACCCCGUGAACCUUUACUGUAGCUUUGCAUUGGACUUUG